rnacentral:rRNA from 1 species
GAUGAACGCUGGCGGCGUGCCUAAUACAUGCAAGUCGAGCGAACAGACGAGGAGCUUGCUCCUCUGACGUUAGCGGCGGACGGGUGAGUAACACGUGGAUAACCUACCUAUAAGACUGGGAUAACUUCGGGAAACCGGAGCUAAUACCGGAUAAUCUAUUGAACCGCAUGGUUCAAUAGUGAAAGACGGUUUUGCUGUCACUUAUAGAUGGAUCCGCGCCGCAUUAGCUAGUUGUUAAGGUAACGGCUUACCAAGGCAACGAUGCGUAGCCGACCUGAGAGAGUGAUCGGCCACACUGGAACGGAGACACGGUCCAGACUCCUACGGGAGGCAGCAGUAGGGAAUCUGCCGCAAUGGGCGAAAGCCUGACGGAGCAACGCCGCGUGAGUGAUGAAGGUCUUCGGAUCGUAAAACUCUGUUAUUAGGGAAGAACAAAUGUGUAAGUAACUAUGCACGUCUUGACGGUACCUAAUCAGAAAGCCACGGCUAACUACGUG